CCUACGGGAGGCUGCAGUGGGGAAUAUUGCACAAUGGGCGAAACCCUGAUGCAGCGACGCCGCGUGAGUGAAGAAGUAAUUCGGUAUGUAAAGCACUAUCAGCAGGGAAGAAAAUGACGUUACCAGAGUCAGAAGCACCGGCUAACUACGUGCCAGCAGCCGCGGUAAUACGGAGGGGGCGAGCGUUAUCUGGAUUUACUGGGGGGAAAGGGAGUGUAGACGGCAGUGCAAGUCUGGAGUGAAAGGCGCGGGCUCAACCCGGGGACUGCUCUGGAAACUGGACGGCUGGAGUGCAGGAGAGGUGAGUAGAAUUCCUAGUGUAGCGGUGAAAUGCGUAGAUAUUAGGAGGAACACCAGUGGCGAAGGCGGCUUACUGGACGGUAACUGACGUUGAGGCUCGAAAGCGUGGGGAGCAAACAGGAUUAGAUACCCCAGUAGUC
rnacentral:rRNA from 1 species